rnacentral:rRNA from 1 species
UACGAAGGGCGCGAGUGUUAUUCGUUUUGAUUGGGUGUAAAGGUAAGUAGGCAGCACUGGAUUUUUUGGCUAAAAGCGCGGAGUGGUCCUACGCUUAAGCCUUCUUUUGAAGGAGCUAGUGUUAGAAAUGGGUUUAGGCAAGUCUGGGUGGAGGAGUAAAAUCCUGCGAUAUUCGGACGAACGUCAGCAGGCGCAGGCGCUUUUCCGGUUCUAACAGACGCUGAGUUACGGAAGCUUAGGGAGCAAACGGG